rnacentral:rRNA from 1 species
CCCGCUCAGAAACUCAAAGGAAUUGACGGGGCUCGCACAAGCGGUGGAGUAUGUGGUUUAAUUCGAUGCAACGCGAAGAACCUUACCUGGUCUUGACAUCCCGGAGACCCUUAGGAAACUAGGGGGUGCUUCCAUCUGGAAGAAUCUGGAGACAGGUGCUGCAUGGCUGUCGUCAGCUCGUGUCGUGAGAUGUUGGGUUAAGUCCCGCAACGAGCGCAACCCUUGCCUUUAGUUGCCAGCAGUUCGGCUGGGCACUCUAAAGGGACUGCCGGUGUUAAACCGGAGGAAGGUGGGGAUGACGUCAAGUCCUCAUGGCCUUUAUGACCAGGGCUACACACGUACUACAAUGGCCGAUACAAAGGGCAGCGACACUGCGAGGUGAAGCCAAUCCCGUAAAAUCGGUCUCAGUCCGGAUUGGAGUCUGCAACUCGACUCCAUGAAGUUGGAAUCGCUAGUAAUCGUGGAUCAGCAUGCCACGGUGAAUACGUUCCCGGGCCUUC